CAGAAGACAACACCCACAGAUUCAUUAUGGAGUAUGGGGAAAAGUUUUUACAGAUGGGAAAAUAGAGAAACAACAACAACAAAAAAAGAGUUUUGUGUCUUGCCAAGCAUCUCAUUUGUUAUGAAGGAAAUAAGAACAUUUCAACUUACUGUGUUAACGGAGAUGAAUGAAAUGACUGUGAUGGUUCAUUUGAGGUGUGAAUUUGGCUGGAUUAAGGGAUACCCACACAUCUGAUAAAGGUACUAAUGCUUGGUGUCUGUGUGGGUGUUCCUAGAAGACACUGGCGUCGGAAUCAGUUGACUGAAUAAGCAAGUUCUAGCCUAACUAACUCAGUGUACAGUACCAUUUAGUUCAUCUGGGGCCCGGGAAGAACAAAAAGCCAGAUAAAGGGGAUAUCUCCCUCUCUCUCUCUCUCCCUCUCCCCUGCUUCUCUCUGUCUCUCUCUCUCUUUCUU
rnacentral:lncRNA from 1 species